UACGAAGGGGACUAGCGUUGCUCGGAAUCACUGGGCGUAAAGGGUGCGUAGGCGGGUCUUUAAGUCAGGGGUGAAAUCCUGGAGCUCAACUCCAGAACUGCCUUUGAUACUGAAGAUCUUGAGUUCGGGAGAGGUGAGUGGAACUGCGAGUGUAGAGGUGAAAUUCGUAGAUAUUCGCAAGAACACCAGUGGCGAAGGCGGCUCACUGGCCCGAUACUGACGCUGAGGCACGAAAGCGUGGGGAGCAAACAGGG
rnacentral:rRNA from 1 species